GAUGAACGCUAGCGGCAGGCCUAACACAUGCAAGUCGAGGGAGGAGCCUUCGGGCUUCGACCGGCGUACGGGUGCGUAACGCGUAUACAAUCUGCCUUUCACAUAGGGAUAGCCCGAAGAAAUUUGGAUUAAUACCUAAUGGUAUAUAGAUGUGGCAUCACCUUUAUAUUAAAGCUGAGGCGGUGAAAGAUGAGUAUGCGUUCUAUUAGCUAGUUGGAGAGGUAACGGCUCCCCAAGGCGACGAUAGAUAGGGGUUCUGAGAGGGAUAUCCCCCACACUGGUACUGGGAUACGGACCAGACUCCUACGGGAGGCAGCAGGGAGGAAUAUUGGACAAUGGUCGGAAGACUGAUCCAGCCAUGCCGCGUGCAGGAAGACGGCCUUUGGGUUGUAAACUGCUUUUGCAGGGGAAGAAUAAGGACUACGCGUAGUUUGAUGACGGUACUCUGCGAAUAAGCAGCGGCUAACUCCGUG
rnacentral:rRNA from 1 species